rnacentral:rRNA from 1 species
CAGCCGCCGCGGGAAUACAGAGGGUGCAAGCGUUAAUCGGAAUUACUGGGCGUAAAGCGCGCGUAGGUGGUUCGCCAAGUUGGAUGUGAAAUCCCCGGGCUCAACCUGGGAACUGCAUCCAAAACUGGCGAGCUAGAGUAUGGUAGAGGGUGGUGGAAUUUCCUGUGUAGCGGUGAAAUGCGUAGAUAUAGGAAGGAACAUCAGUGGCGAAGGCGACCACCUGGACUGAUACUGACACUGAGGUGCGAAAGCGUGGGGAGCAAACAGGAUUAGAUACCCCUGUAGUCCCUGUCUCUUAUAC